GUUAUGUGAACGACACAACGUCGUUUUAUUUACGUUACAUAACUUUAACUAAUUAUUCUAUUUAGUUUUCCAACACUCAAAGAAACAGUGCAAUCACUGCAGCGAGCAAACGUUUUGUUGUGUUUUAGAGUAUAAGCUUGAAUUCGUUAAAAUGGUAUCCAAUAACAUUUAUUAGAGUAAACGUUUUGUGCCUAUUCUUUAUAAUAAUAUGUUACUAGUUUACCAAGUUGAGUAACGCUUUUAAUAAAUGACGUCACUCCAAGUUUGUUUGUGUAACCAAACAUUUUUGUUGUCCUGUAGGUAAUACAGCUGUUCCGAGAGAGGUUGAAAACUUGUUAAGAAAACACGGCUUGUACACUUCUCAAGCACAAACUACAUUAAGAAAAGUACUAGUAAAUUCAAAUGUUAAAAAAUUUCCAGGGAACAUCCUUCAACAGCUGAUUGAGAUUUUCAAGCUAGCUGGGAAACUACCUGAAAGUGAAACGCUUCUUGAAUUCUUGUCUGCUCCUCUUUCUGCGUCCUAGUGCAUUCAUUAUGCAUUGUAAGGUCAAACAGCUGUCCCAAAAGAGGUUGAAAACUUGUUAAGAAAACACGGCUUGUACACUCUUCAAGCAAAAAAUGCAUUACAAAAAGCACUAGUAAAUUCAAAUAUUGGAGCCUUUCCAGGGAAUAUUCUUCAACAACUUAUUGCGAUUUUCAAGCUAGCUGAAAAACUACCUGAAAGUGAAACGCUUCUUGAAUUCUUGUCUGCUCCUCUUUCUUCUCCUUAGGGAAUUCGUUGUGCAUUUUCUGUGUUUCCUAGUUAGGUCGAAACAUAUAUCCAAACUUGUAAAACAAAAGAGAAAUAUUGAAUAAACAUGUUAGCACAUAGA